rnacentral:rRNA from 1 species
AACGAACGCUGGCGGCGUGCCUAACACAUGCAAGUCGAACGAGAAAGGGGCUUCGGCUCCGAGUAAAGUGGCGCACGGGUGAGUAACACGUGGGUAACCUGCCUCUAAGAUUGGGAUAACUCGUCGAAAGAUGAGCUAAUACCGAAUAAGACCACAGUUCCCGCGGGAACAGGGGUCAAAGGUAGCCUCUGCUUGCAAGCUAUCACUUAGAGAUGGGCCUGCGCACCAUUAGCUAGUUGGUAGGGUAACGGCCUACCAAGGCAAAGAUGGUUAGCUGGUCUGAGAGGAUGAUCAGCCACACUGGAACGGAGACACGGUCCAGACUCCUACGGGAGGCAGCAGGGGGGAAUAUUGCGCAAUGGGCGAAAGCUUGACGCAGCAACGCCGCGUGAGUGAUGAAGGCCUUCGGGUCGUAAAGCUCUGUCGGGAGGAACGAAUGCUCCUGAGGUUAACAGCCUCGGGAGGUGACGGUACCUUCAAAGGAAGCACCGGCUAACUCUGUG